rnacentral:lncRNA from 7 species
UAAAAUGAAGCUUUGGUUAAGAGUGCAAUAUGAAUUUGGGUGUAACCAAGCUAUGGUGAGGUCCCCUCCAAAGGAGCAAGAUUAAAUAUGGCUGUAUGAGCCAGCACUAAUCUACUGAGAAGUGGGCAUGCUGGACCAUAGCAGCCAGCAGUUCGCAGCACAUUGGGGUGCUCCCAUGGCCUGCAGAGAAGAGGGCUACAUGAGACAAGUGUCCCCCUCCAGAGCUUCAAAUGGACCUGAAGCUCCAUGCUUCUCCCCGUGGGAACAAGCUCAAUUUUGUGCUUUGGUCUAAAGAGAGAUCAAGAAGCACUACCAGAACCAGAGCCAGAAAGGAAUGGGUAAUGGGCAAGAUAAGUGAAACAUCAACAUUGCAACAUGGCACCGAUUCAGGAUGCACCAUUGGAUAUUGGACUCAUCAGGCCUUUAGGACACAAGCCAGUCAGUGAACAUCAAGUAUAUUUUUUGAUGAACUAUUUGCAAAUUAGAUGUAUUACAAAUGUUUGCUCAUUUAAUUAGAAUAUAAAAGAUGAUUUCUUUGACU